rnacentral:rRNA from 1 species
UACGUAGGGGGCAAGCGUUGUCCGGAAUCAUUGGGCGUAAAGAGCGUGUAGGUGGCUCGGUAAGUCCGCUGUAAAAGUCCAGGGCUCAACCCUGGAAAGCCGGUGGAAACUGUCGAGCUAGAGUCCGGAAGAGGCGAGUGGAAUUCCUGGUGUAGCGGUGAAAUGCGCAGAUAUCAGGAGGAACACCAAUGGCGAAGGCAGCUCGCUGGGACGGUACUGACACUAAGACGCGAAAGCGUGGGGAGCAAACAGG